rnacentral:rRNA from 1 species
CCUACGGGAGGCAGCAGUGGGGAAUAUUGCACAAUGGGGGAAACCCUGAUGCAGCGACGCCGCGUGAAGGAAGAAGUAUUUCGGUAUGUAAACUUCUAUCAGCAGGGAAGAAAAUGACGGUACCUGACUAAGAAGCCCCGGCUAACUACGUGCCAGCAGCCGCGGUAAUACGUAGGGGGCAAGCGUUAUCCGGAUUUACUGGGUGUAAAGGGAGCGUAGGCGGUUUAGCAAGUCAGAAGUGAAAGCCCGGGGCUCAACUCCGGGACUGCUUUUGAAACUGUUGAACUAGAGUGCAGGAGAGGUAAGUGGAAGUCCUAGUGUAGCGGUGAAAUGCGUAGAUAUUAGGAGGAACACCAGUGGCGAAGGCGGCUUACUGGACUGUAAAUGACGCUGAGGCUCGAAAGCGUGGGGAGCAAACAGGAUUAGAUACCCUUGUAGUC